GGUAAUGCUGGGCACUCUGGUGAGACUGCCCCGGUUAACGGGGAGGAAGGUGGGGACGACGGUCAAGUCAUCAUGGCCCUUACGCCUAGGGCUACACACGUACUACAAUGGCGCAUACAAAGGGCAGCGAUACCGCGAGGUGGAGCCAAUCCCAAAAAGUGCGUCCCAGUCCGGAUUGCAGUCUGCAACUCGACUGCAUGAAGUUGGAAUCGCUAGUAAUUCGAGAUCAGCAUGCUCGGGUGAAUGCGUUCCCGGGCCUU
rnacentral:rRNA from 1 species